AAUCUCAUCCAUUAAUUAAGUCAUCCAUUCAUUCAUAACUCCUCAGAUGUGUUCUGUCCAGUGAAGGCAGUGAGAAGCCCUACACUGAUCUUGAAACUGUGCCACGCUAGUAGAGACCGGCUACAAGGAUGGGCAGCUGUUUUCGCAAAGUCAGCCAACCACUUGCUUCCAAAUGACCCUUAUCCAGAAGUAUCCGUGAGUGCCUCAUCAACAGAAACUAAAGUGGAGACCUACCUCUCAGAGAAAAACGCACACAUAAGAAAAGCCGACCCACUUCAGUACUGGGAAGAACAUCCUAAUCUGUUUCCCUCUAUGGCUGCUGUUGCGAUCCCAGUGUGCCCCUGUAGCUCUGUGGACAGUUUUGGAUUUGUUUACAUCUCACCCAACCGCUCACGGCAGAUGGCUGCACCUCUCUAAGCCUGGUUCUGCCGGAGGUUUCUUCCUGUUAAAAGGGAGUUUUUCUGAACACACUCUACCACCAACAAGGACAGCUCACCAGUGGGAACUGAUAGAAAGACUGCUGAUGCUCUCAUCCAUUGAAGAGCUGACCAGAAAUGUGAUCAGAGAGAUGCACUGCACCUGAUGGGAUCCCUGCCAUAACAGGUAAUUGUAUUUUUUUCUUUACAUGUACAUUAUGAUAUUCUUUGAACAAACUAUAAUCUCAUCCAUUCAUUAAGUCUCCAUUCAUUCAUAACUCCUCAGAUGUGUUCUGUCCAGUGAAGGCAGUGGAGAAGCCCUACACUGAUCUUGAAACUGUGCCACGCU
rnacentral:lncRNA from 1 species